rnacentral:rRNA from 1 species
CCUUCGGGAGCUUGCACAGGUGCUGCAUGGCUGUCGUCAGCUCGUGUCGUGAGAUGUUGGGUUAAGUCCCGCAACGAGCGCAACCCUUGUCAUUAGUUGCUACAUUCAGUUGGGCACUCUAAUGAGACUGCCGGUGACAAGCCGGAGGAAGUGGGGAUGACGUCAAGUCCUCAUGGCCCUUAUAGGUGGGGCUACACACGUCAUACAAUGGCUGGUACAAAGGGUUGCCAACCCGCGAGGGGGAGCUAAUCCCAUAAAGCCAGUCGUAGUCCGGAUCGUAGUCUGCAACUCGACUACGUGAAGUCGGAAUCGCUAGUAAUCGUGGAUCAGAAUGUCACGGUGAAUACGUUCCCGGGUCUU